CGGACGGGACCGCAGAGUCUGCCCCCGGUAUUCAGCUCGUCCUCUUCGUCGGCCGCGUCCGUCGCCAAACGACACCCUCUGAGCGGGUGCCAUGGCGGGCGUGAGCGCGGCGGGGGACGCGUGCACUUUCCGGGGUGCGGUGCGUCACGACCGGUUCGGCGGAGGUCAGAAGGCCGGCGGGAUGGUGGCCAGUCGUUCGCGUCUGGUGGUAUAGCCCGCCUGCGUCGCAGGCCCUCUGCCGGACCGAGGAGGAUCCGCGUCUGCCUUAGGGCGCGGGGCCCGGGGCCUCCCGUGCUGCCUCCGUGCCGGGACUGCUCUCGCAGUGCCGUGCGCGGUCGGCGGUCGGGACGGACUCCGCUCCCCCCGUAACGGCGUCUAGGGUCGGUGGCGAUAUUGUCGGCAACCCGUCCGACCCGUU
rnacentral:rRNA from 1 species